rnacentral:rRNA from 1 species
GCCUUAUCCACUUCGCCUCUUCUCCCUGCUCCAGCCACACACACACCCACGGGACCGUGCUCCAGUCCACGGUGCCGCGUUCCCCUUCUCUCUUCCCUCCUCUCUACAAUCCUCCAAGCUUUCGUCGGCCACUUGCGGGGCGGCUGCGUAUGGGCUCCAGGUGGCCGGGGCUGCGCGCGGGGGCAGGCUGGGGCUGUGGCGGAGGCGCGGCAGCGGUGGCCGGCGGCUGCUUGAAGGGGCCGCGUGGAUCUGCCGCCGGGGCUUCGGAUCGGCGUUGUCGUUUGAGCCCCGAGUUUUCGACGCCGAGAGCUUGGCGAUCCAGAGGGUGCUGGUCUCCGUCGGUGGACAUUCGAUGACAAAUGAAAAAAACAGAGGCAACCAAUUCAGCGAGGCCGCCCACCCAGCAAAGCGCACCAAAGAACCAAUUCUUUCUUUACCAGAGAAGAAGAAGGCGAGGCCCAAUCUCAGCCGCCGUUCGUCCUUACCUGCCUACGUCCGGCGGGCCGAUGGGGGGCCCGACCUGAGGCGACAUGGCCCUCCCAAGAGAGAAGCAGGCGUCGGCGCUGUGCAGGCCGUCCAUGGCGAUGGAGACGCCCGGGCAGGAAGGGCUCAAUCCGGAUGAACCAGCCCGCACCGAGCCCGGCCGCCUCAACAGGAGCUCGUCUCUCUGCCUGCCUGCGGCUCACCGGAGCCGCCAUCGCCGGCGACCGCCUCCCUCAAUUUGUGCCCCUUCUCCUUCGCCUUUCUUCCUCUCUUCCCCGAGGAGCGGGGAGCCGGCGAAUCCGUCGGUCAGGAGCUGGGCGGCGCGCCGGCGCCCUCCAUCAUCGCGGUCGUUUGGGAAGGGACGCGGUCCUGGUCGAUGCGGUGUGUGGCGGGCGACGCAGGGCAGGAGGUGGCGGCGGGAUGAAGGUACAUGCAAUGGGGCACCGGCAAACAGAGGCGGGCGGCGGAGGUGCUGCAGGAGCGGCGCUCGACUGCGAGGUGAGGAGGAGGAGCAGAGGAAGGGGAGGCUGGAGGUGAUCCUCGCUGACGAUGGUGGGACGCAGGCAUGAGCAGGAGGAUGAGAGGAAAUGGGAUAGCGGCCUGCUGGUGGCUGCCGGCGACGCCGGGUGGCGAGGGGUCAUCGAAGCGGCGUCGUGGACGCCGGCGCCAAGCGGCGGCGAGUGGCCGUCGGUGGAGUCUUGGAAUGGAUAAGGAAUAUAAGGGCUGACUGCAGACUGCGGGCUAAAUUCUAACUAAUGCAGGGGCUCUUUUGCAACAAUGAAACGUUUUUAGGAACUCACUUGAUAAAGGACUGUGGGUUGAAUUCAACAAACAACAGGGGCUUUUUUGAAAAAAUGACAAUGACGGACGACAGAAACCCAAUUCUUUUUUAUUAUUAGGUAAAGAUACUGCCGCUUUUGGUGUGUGGUCAGUCCUGAGAACGGUCUAUGUUAAUGUCUGUCCACUCAAUUCAGUCUGUAUAUUUUGAAGUAUGCAGGUCAUCUUUUUUGUGAGGACGGUUUAUCAAUUAUGGUUACACUCCAAUAUCUAUAUGCAUUGCAGGGUUUAUCGCACCCACUAGGAUUUCCAGUCCCAUGGAUAUUCGGUCCAUACGAUUUGUCACGACCUUUGGACUGUCCUGCUUGUUGAUACGUCUCCAACGUAUCUAUAAUUUUUGAUUACUCCAUGCUACUUUGUCUAUUGUUUUGGACAAUAUUGGGCUUUAUUUUCCAUUUUUAUAUUAUUUUUGGGACUAACCUAUUAACCGGAGGCCCAGCCCAGAAUUACUGUUUUUUGCCUAUUUCAGUAUUUCGAAGAAACAGAAUAUCAAACGGAGUCCAAACGGAAUAAAACCUUCGGGAACGUGAUUUCCUCAACGAACGUGAUCCAGGAGACUUGGACCCUACUCCAAGAAGUGCCAGAGGCGGUCACGAGAGUGGAGGGCGCCCC